rnacentral:rRNA from 1 species
UGACCUCAAAUCAGGUAGGAAUACCCGCUGAACUU